CCUACGGGAGGCAGCAGUGGGGAAUAUUGCGCAAUGGGCGAAAGCCUGACGCAGCGACGCCGCGUGAGGGAUGAAGGUCUUCGGAUCGUAAACCUCUUUCAGCAGGGAAGAACGGUCACUGUGCUAAUCAGCAGUGAAUUGACGGUACCUGCAAAGGAAGCACCGGCUAACUCCGUGCCAGCAGCCGCGGUAAUACGGAGGGUGCGAGCGUUAAUCGGAAUUACUGGGCGUAAAGCGCUCGUAGGCGGUAUGUCAAGUCAAGGGUGAAAUCCCCGCGCUCAACGUGGGAAUUGCCUUUGAAACUGGCAAACUGGAGUGUGUGAGAGGAUAGUAGAAUUCCAGGUGUAGGAGUGAAAUGCGUAGAUAUCUGGAGGAACAUCAGUGGCGAAGGCGACUAUCUGGCAAAUAACUGACGCUGAGGUGCGAAAGCGUGGGUAGCAAACAGGAUUAGAUACCCUUGUAGUC
rnacentral:rRNA from 1 species